GCCUGGCUAGCUCAACUGGUAGAGCAUGGCAUUAACAUUGCUAGGGUUCGAUUCCCACUGGGACCA